UGGCGGACGGGUGAGUAACGCGUGGAUAACCUGCCGUAUACCGGGGGAUAACACUUAGAAAUAGGUGCUAAUACCGCAUAAGCGCACGGCUCCGCAUGGGGCAGUGUGAAAAACUCCGGUGGUAUACGAUGGAUCCGCGUCUGAUUAGCUAGUUGGCGGGGUAACGGCCCACCAAGGCAGCGAUCAGUAGCCGGCCUGAGAGGGUGGACGGCCACAUUGGGACUGAGAUACGGCCCAGACUCCUACGGAAGGCAGCAG
rnacentral:rRNA from 1 species